UGGGGAAUUUUGGACAAUGGGGGCANCCCUGAUCCAGCAAUGCCGCGUGCGGGAAGAAGGCCUUCGGGUUGUAAACCGCUUUUGUCGGGGACGAAAAGGACUUGGCUAAUACCUGAGUCUGAUGACGGUACCCGAAGAAUAAGCACCGGCUAACUACGUGCCAGCAGCCGCGGUAAUACGUAGGGUGCAAGCGUUAAUCGGAAUUACUGGGCGUAAAGCGUGCGCAGGCGGUCGUGUAAGCCAGAUGUGAAAUCCCCGGGCUCAACCUGGGAACUGCAUUUGGGACUGCACGGCUUGAGUGCGGCAGAGGGAGAUGGAAUUCCGCGUGUAGCAGUGAAAUGCGUAGAUAUGCGGAGGAACACCGAUGGCGAAGGCAGUCUCCUGGGCCUGCACUGACGCUCAUGCACGAAAGCGUGGGGAGCAAACAGGAUUAGAUACCCUGGUAGUCCACGCCCUAAACGAUGUCAACUGGUUGUUGGACGGCUUGCUGUUCAGUAACGAAGCUAACGCGUGAAGUUGACCGCCUGGGGAGUACGGCCGCAAGGUUG
rnacentral:rRNA from 1 species